AGUGAACGCUGGCGGCAGGCCUAACACAUGCAAGUCGAACGGCAGCACAGUAAGAGCUUGCUCUUACGGGUGGCGAGUGGCGGACGGGUGAGGAAUACAUCGGAAUCUACUUUUUCGGGGGGGAUAACGUAGGGAAACUUACGCUAAUACCGCAUACGAUCUACGGGUGAAAGCAGGGGAUCUUCGCACCUUUCGCGAAUGAAUGAGCCGAUGUCGGAUUAGCUAGUUGGGGGGGUAAAGGCCCACCAAGGCGACGAUCCGUAGCUGGUCUGAGAGGAUGAUCGGCCACACUGGAACUGAGACACGGUCCAGACUCCUACGGGAGGCAGCAGUGGGGAAUAUUGGACAAUGGGCGCAAGCCUGACCCAGCCAUACCGCGUGGGUGAAGAAGGCCUUCGGGUUGUAAAGCCCUUUUGUUGGGAAAGAACAGCAGCAGGUUAAUACCCCGCUGUUCUGACGGUACCCAAAGAAUAAGCACCGGCUAACUACGUG
rnacentral:rRNA from 1 species